rnacentral:lncRNA from 1 species
CCCGCAUAAAGGUAUUGUGUUCUGAACACAGAACAGUAAAUUAUUUACUGUUCAAAUUUGAAUUUCAAAUUUAAAUGCAUGCAUGCUACAUAUCAUAUUUAGAUCCUAGUAUAGGGUAAAUAUAUGUUAAUUAAUUAGAUUAAUUAAUAAUUUUCACUGUAAAAUAGUGAUUUUGAAAAAUUUUAAAAUUACCAUUUUACCCCUGCACUAAAAUUUUGCUUCAUGGAUAUCAUUGCUAGAUGAUCACUUUGAUUCAUAUAAAAUUUUAUUCUGAUACUACUGAC